rnacentral:tRNA from 1 species
AGGCUUGUAGCUCUAAUUGGUAGAGCAUCGGUUUCCAAAACCGAGGGUUGUCGGUUCGAAUCCGACCGAGCCUGCCA